AGCUUUGCACGGUGGCAGUAUCAUAGCCAAUGAGGUUUAUCCGAGGCACGAUUAUUGCUAAUUAAACCAGAGCUGGAGGUCUUCUUUUUCUUUAUUUUUAAAAUUUAUUUUCAGUG
ensembl:snRNA U4 U4 spliceosomal RNA